rnacentral:sRNA from 16 species
GUCACAGGCUCCACCACUCGAAGAGUGGGGGCGUCGGCCUUUGUGGUCGGCGCUUGCUGUGACCAGCACCAGCCAUCACCAAGAAGGAGGUGACCUUGAUGGCUACGUUCCGUACAGGGCAGCAGACCCACCCGACUGUGCUUCCUCAGCAGUCGGCUCUGGA